rnacentral:rRNA from 1 species
GACGAACGCUGGCGGCGUGCUUAACACAUGCAAGUCGGGCGGUAAGGCCCUUUCGGGGUACACGAGCGGCGAACGGGUGAGUAACACGUGGGUGACCUGCCCUUAGCUCUGGGAUAAGCCUGGGAAACUGGGUCUAAUACCGGAUAUGACUCCAUAACGCAUGUUGUGGGGUGGAAAGCCUUGUGCGGCUAGGGAUGGGCCCGCGGCCUAUCAGCUUGUUGGUGGGGUGAUGGCCUACCAAGGCGACGACGGGUAGCCGGCCUGAGAGGGCGACCGGCCACACUGGGA